rnacentral:rRNA from 1 species
UACGAAGGGGGCUAGCGUUGCUCGGAAUCACUGGGCGUAAAGCGCACGUAGGCGGACUCUUAAGUCAGGGGUGAAAUCCUGGAGCUCAACCUCGGAACUGCCUUCGAUACUGCGGGUCUCGAGUCCGGGAGAGGUGAGUGGAAUUCCUAGUGUAGAGGUGAAAUUCGUAGAUAUUAGGAAGAACACCAGUGGCGAAGGCGGCUCACUGGCCCGGUACUGACGCUGAGGCGCGAAAGCGUGGGGAGCAAACAGG